rnacentral:rRNA from 1 species
GAUGAACGCUAGCGGCAGGCUUAACACAUGCAAGUCGAGGGGUAUAGUAGCAAUACUAGAGACCGGCGCACGGGUGCGUAACGCGUAUGCAACCUACCUUUUACAGAGGGAUAGCCCAGAGAAAUUUGGAUUAAUACCUCAUAGUGUUAUUAGAUGGCAUCAUUUGAUAACUAAAGUUCCAACGGUAAAGAUGGGCAUGCGUCCUAUUAGCUAGAUGGUAAGGUAACGGCUUACCAUGGCUACGAUAGGUAGGGGUCCUGAGAGGGAGAUCCCCACACUGGUACUGAGACACGGACCAGACUCCUACGGGAGGCAGCAGUGAGGAANAUUUGGGACAAAUAGGGCGGCGAANACCUUGAUCCAGCCA